UACAGAGGUCUCGAGCGUUAGGCGGAAUCACUGGGCUUAAAGCGUGUGUAGGCGGAUCGUUAAGUGCCUUGUGAAAUCCCACGGCUUAACCGUGGAACUGCUUGGCAUACUGGCGGUCUUGAGCCACUUAGGGGCAACCGGAACAAACGGUGGAGCGGUGAAAUGCGUAGAUAUCGUUUGGAACGCCAAUGGUGAAAACAGGUUGACU
rnacentral:rRNA from 1 species